CUUCACUUCAGUCCGCUGCUGCUCGCGAUGACGUUGGGCGCGAUGAGGAUCCUCUGAUCUGAGAUGAUUCCGCCGCUCGUGAGGAGGCGCCUGGCUUCAGAGCGAGUUGUGGCGUGAACUCCUCGUCGUGCAGCAGCCGCUGACUGGAUGCAGCUGGAGGGAGUUUCAGAGUUUUGCCCAAAGCUGCAGCAAAGUUGCACACAAGCCAACUCAACCUGCUGCAACAGGAAACCAGCAUCACCAGCACACAAGUGAAACCCGCGCCAGUGAAGGCCGGGCCCUCGUGUCCCUGUAGCUUCCGUCCCUCCAUGUCCCCCUGCUGUCUGUAGACUGAGGCGAUGGACAGCCCGUCCUCCACAGUGAGGCGGCGAGCCUGGAUCAACAGCAGCCGGCGGCGGUCCACUCUGGAGGAGCCGGACCCCGAGAGGCGGCUGGGCAGCCUCCCCUCGGCCUCCAUCACAGAUGACGACGUCUUCUCUGAUGGAUGCUUCACAGGAAAGAUCGAGGACUGGCUGCAGGCUUGUGGGUCAAACAACCCCCGCCAGCUGAGCCUUGAGACUAUGGUCAAAGCCAACAACUUCGAUGAUGACCUGAGUCUUGGUGCUGAUGCCUCUGUGUUAAACGGUGGAAUCCCUCCAUGUGAAGCUGGUCCCGCUCAGCAUCCGUCCUCGAUACUUCGACGAGGCCGACUCACCAGCAGCAGAGCGGGACUAUCCCCUCCUUCGUUUCACUUAGGGAACAGUAUGACCUCCAGCUGUCCCUCCUCCUCCUACACCUGUAAAACAACAUCAAGUGUAUCUGAGGUCCUGGAUAUGUAUUCGGAAGAUGCAGAGGAGACGCUGUACGAGUUGGGUUUUGGCAACGAUGAGCCACAGGCCACGGUGCGCAUCCCUCCUCGUUUCUUCACCUUCCCGUCUCAGGCUGAGGGCAUCAGCUUCCGCCUCUUCCUGGACGCACAGCUGCGGCGGAUACGAGAGGAGGACCCCAGCCUCUCUCUUGCUAGUCGUUUCAGACAAGUCCAAACGCUCACGGCGAUGGCCAACGUCUUUUACUCCCUCUACUCCCACGUGUCCCGCACCCCGGUCCAGAAACUGGUCCCACCAGAGUUGUGCCUCUCGUCUCCCAUGGAGAAGAUCGACCGCUUCCGGAGCAGCGUUCGCAGUGAGCCGCGCUCUCCGGUGGAGAGGCUGAAGGACACCGUCUCCAAGAUGUGCCUCUACACGGGCUCCCCUCGGGGCUCGGUCUCCACCUCUCCGCAGCCGUCACCCAUGAAAAGGUCCAGCCUCCCGGAGGUCGUGGACAUGGUCCUGGUUAAAGUCAAGACGGGGGCGACCAAGAAACUGGAUUUGGGGGAAUGUAACAGGAGUGGUUCAUCGGUGGAUGUCGGGCUCAUAGAUGAGGAUACAUCCUGUAGCAGUGGACAAAUGGACACAGACAUUGUCGGAAAUACAAUCCAUCAUAAGGAGACAAGCAAUAGACAAGUAGAUAAUUCUGAUGCUGAUGAAACCGUUGUCCAACCAGCAGACGAUGACAGAAAGACUCUGAAUAUAGAAACAUCUCUUUCCACAUUAUCAGGAGAAACUGAUCAUCAGGGUCUGUCACCUCGGGCAGAGCAGGCUGCCAUGGUCACACGUGAUCUAAUCUGCCCACAGAUAGUGGAGAGCGUACACCACGCACCCUUCUGCUGCCAACACACACCCUGUCCCAAAACACACACUGGGACAGAAGGCACUGAUAAAGCACAUGAACCCGACAGACAAGCCCCUGUAUCUGCUCCUGGUGUGGACUCAUCCUCCACAGGGGACGUUACGUCUUCUGGAGGGGUCGGACCGGAGGGUGCAUCCAGCUCACUUCCUGUCCUGGCCCCCCCCGCCGGCAGCCAUACAGAUUACUGCAUCACUGUGACCGGCUGGGAGGGGGACGGUCCCUCCUCCUCCUCCUCCUCCUCCAGUGCGCCACAUUCCUGCCAUGCUUCAAAUGUCCCGCCUGUCCGGACACGUGCGGGGUCGUUAGAAGGCGAGAAGACCCGGUACCUGAAUCCUCCGACUCAUCAGGGCCUGAGGAACUUCUCCAAGACCGACGUGAAACCGGUGAACUCGUUUGAGCUGGAGGAGGUGCACAGCGCAGGGGAGGAAGAGUUUGGACAGUCAAAUACUACAAGAGCUUCAAACUCACCAGUGUGCACGCAGGGCCAGCACAAAGGUACAGUAUAUUCAUGUUUCAUUUGUGUUUGAGGAACAUUCUUUACAUGUUGCCUCGGUACAAUGUGGUCAGGAUUUACAGGAACAUGACUCAUCAUCCAACAAACUGCUGCGCAAUUAACCCUGACCCUGUUUUGAAGGGAAGUAACGCAUGUGGUCGGUGUGUGCAGCACUUUGUCAAAGCACGUGGAUGUGAAGUGGUCCGGGGCGACAGCGUGCAGUCAGACAGCAGCGGCUACGCAGACGAAGAAGUCAGUCCCUCGUCGGACAGACACGCCCGAUGACACAAAGACACAGAACUCCAUCAUUCAAUCUUCACACAUUUGCACUGAGGAUUUGAGUUUGUGCGACUCGUGAUUUGUGCGUCCAAAAUGACUUUGUCCCAUUUGACACUUUUCAGAGGAUCUACACCGAAAAAAAUCAAGUUUAUCAAAAGGUUUUUCCCGGGCGCCCAUCCUCAAUACAACUACUGUAAAUGAAUAAAACAUAAAGACAUUGAAAGACUGCGUGGAUCAUCCCAUUUGAACAGUAACGAGUCAAUCUGGAAUUACAGCAUGAACAAUACAUUACACAAGUCAAUUUCACAUGGAGCUCGCACUUUAUUUAUUUUAAACUGGGCAAACAAUUUAACUAUGACAAAGAACUGUCUCAAAUUGAAUAAUGUCAGCACAUAAAACUCACUAAAACCAGGAGAUAACUUCCUUAUCUCAGAAUAACAAAAUGCAGAUCUGCCGUUUCAGACAGAAUGAGGUCAGUGUUGCGUCAAACCCGCUGCACUCGAACAUGUUCCGCCUGCAUCUGUGCAAAGGACUUUAUCUUCUCAACUAGUGCAAACUGUUUCCGACUCUUUUCCGAUACUUAUUUCAGCAGAGUGCAAUGAAUUGUAUUGACCGAUUAGCUACUGCAGUAACAGAGGUGGUGAUGAGAGUUCACACCCAGACGCAGGUGUCAACGGCUCUUUUAAAUAACGUCACAGGAAUCAGUCACAUUGACGGAGAAAAGAGAAACGUAAUCACAGGGGUGUGAAAUAUAAAGAGGAAAACCAUCGUUAGUUCCUAUCUUUGAAACGGCACAAGAGACAUUAUUUGUCUGAGGGAUGACCAAAAAAAAAAAAAUCUAUUUGUUUUGUCUAACGUUCUAUUGAUAACAACAACAACAACAACCCCUAGUUCUUUUUUCAGCUCUUUGAUUCACACAGAAGUUAAUUUAUUAUUUAUUGGUCUGACUGCAUAGUGAAUAGAGAAACUGGGAAAUAUUUGCUACAAUCACAUUUUGUGUUGUCUUGAUUUACUCCCAAAUGUGAACAUUUGUGUGUGAACUGAACCAAUAAGGAGAUUCUAAAUUCUCAUGAUCACUGUGAGCAUUCCUAAAACGCUCUGAUAGCCAUUGGUGUACAUCUUCCAAGGGAUUCUACACGUGGGAAAUCAAUAAAAAAAAUGGUAUCACUCAAGCUCACUGAUGACUGAUAAUUCUACUAAAUUUGAUUGAUACUACAGUAAAUAUCAGAGUGUAACAUUAUUAGAGAGGGUUAAUUUUCAAACAAACCCAAUAUGUGCCGGGCCAAAGAGUUUUAAAACGACAGGGGAAGUUUGGCAAAAGAAAGUUAGAUCCUUCAGCAUCACAGCAACAAACUGUUUGAGCUU